rnacentral:rRNA from 1 species
AUUGAACGCUGGCGGCAUGCCUUACCCAUGCAAGUCGGACGAGUGGCGGACGGGUGAGUAAUGCCUGGGAAACUGCCUGAUGAAGGGGGAUAACUAUUGGAACCGAUAGCUAAUACCGCAUACUAUCAGAUCUGCCCAUGUCGGCUUAGCUGGUUGGUGGGGUAAAGGCUCACCAAGGCGACGAUCCCUAGCUGGUCUGAGAGGAUGACCAGCCACACUGGAACUGAGACACGGUCCAGACUCCUACGUGAGGCAGCAGUGGGGAAUAUUGGACAAUGGGCGCAAGCCUGAUGCAGCCAUGCCGCGUGUAUGAAGAAGGCCUUCGGGUUGUAAAGUACUUUUAGCGGGGAGGCGUUACCUGAAGAAGAAGCACCGGCUAACUCCGUGCCAGCAGCCGCGGUAAUAC